rnacentral:rRNA from 1 species
GAUGAACGCUGGCGGCGUGCCUAACACAUGCAAGUCGAACGGAGUUAUUUUGGAAAGUCCUUCGGGGCUGGAGUCUAUAACUUAGUGGCGGACGGGUGAGUAACGCGUGAGCAAUCUGCCUCAGAGUGGGGGAUAACAGUCGGAAACGACUGCUAAUACCGCAUAAUGCAGUGGGAUCGCAUGGUUCUGCUGCCAAAGGCUUGUCUGCUCUGAGAUGAGCUCGCGUCUGAUUAGCUAGUUGGCGGGGUAACGCCCACCAAGGCGACGAUCAGUAGCCGGACUGAGAGGGUUGAACGGCCACAUUGGGACUGAGACACGGGCCCAGACUCCUACGGGAGCAGCAGUGGGGAAUAUUGCGCAAUGGGGCAACCCUGACGCAGCAACGCCGCGUGAUCGAAGAAGGCCUUCGGGUU